GACGAACGCUGGCGGCGUGCUUAACACAUGCAAGUCGAACGGUGAAGCGCCUUCCUUUUUGGUGGGUGUGGAUGAGUGGCGAACGGGUGAGUAACACGUGAGUAACCUGCCCCCUUCUUCUGGAUAACCGCAUGAAAGUGUGGCUAAUACGGGAUAUUCUGGGUCUGUCGCAUGAUGGGUCUGGGAAAGAUAUUGUUUCGGUGGGGGAUGGGCUCGCGGCCUAUCAGCUUGUUGGUGGGGUGAUGGCCUACCAAGGCGGUGACGGGUAGCCGGCCUGAGAGGGUGGACGGUCACACUGGGACUGAGACACGGCCCAGACUCCUACGGGAGGCAGCAGUGGGGAAUAUUGCACAAUGGGCGCAAGCCUGAUGCAGCGACGCCGCGUGAGGGAUGGAGGCCUUCGGGUUGUGAACCUCUUUCGCGGGUGAAGCAGGCCUGCCUCGUUUGUGGGUGGGUUGACGGUAGCUGGAUAAGAAGCGCCGGCUAACUACGUG
rnacentral:rRNA from 1 species